AGAAAGAAUCUGCAAGCGGCAGAGAGCGGGCUUGGAUGGGAGCCCAGGGGAGGCGCCCGUGGGAGCCGCUGCCCAGGUGAAAAUUGCGCUCUGUGUGACAAUGGGAGAAGGAUGCACCAAGCUGACGGAGCGGUGACAUGGGCGCUGGUGGACUCACGUUUGGAACAUGUGAAAUGACUGAGGCCAUUUGACACCCACUUUGCUAUUUAUUUUGCCUCCUCCUUUACACUGCUGUGCAGGAUGAUGCUCCCAUCUCUUUAUAGAUCUUCAAGCUAUCUGGGGAGAGGUGGGGAUUCACCUUCAAAAAAAAAAAUAAAAAAGAUUGUUCCUGUUCUGGUGAAGGACUUGAGUGCCGAUGCAGCUCUAAGCAUGGGAGGAAGUUACGUGUGUUUCAUGAGAUGGCUCACCUUUAAAAUUAAACUACUUAA
ensembl:lncRNA